UACGGGGGGUGCAAGCGUUGUUCGGAAUUACUGGGCGUAAAGGGCUCGUAGGUGGCCAACUAAGUCAGACGUGAAAUCCCUCGGCUUAACCGGGGAACUGCGUCUGAUACUGGAUGGCUCGAGUUUGGGAGAGGGAUGCGGAAUUCCAGGUGUAGCGGUGAAAUGCGUAGAUAUCUGGAGGAACACCGGUGGCGAAGGCGGCAUCCUGGACCAAAACUGACACUGAGGAGCGAAAGCCAGGGGAGCAAACGGG
rnacentral:rRNA from 1 species